rnacentral:rRNA from 1 species
UACAGAGGGUGCAAGCGUUAAUCGGAAUUACUGGGCGUAAAGCGCGCGUAGGUGGUUCGUUAAGUUGGAUGUGAAAUCCCCGGGCUUAACCUGGGAACUGCAUUCAAAACUGACGAGCUAGAGUAUGGUAGAGGCAGGUGGAAUUCCCGGUGUAGCGGUGGAAUGCGUAGAGAUCGGGAAGAACAUCGGUGGCGAAGGCGGCCUGCUGGGCUGUUGCUGACGCUGAGGCGCGACAGCGUGGGGAGCAAACAGG